rnacentral:rRNA from 1 species
GACGAACGCUGGCGGCGUGCCUAAUACAUGCAAGUUGAGCGCUGAAGGUUGGUGCUUGUACCAACUGGAUGAGCAGCGAACGGGUGAGUAACGCGUGGGGAAUCUGCCUUUGAGCGGGGGACAACAUUUGGAAACGAAUGCUAAUACCGCAUAAAAACUUUAAACACAAGUUUUAAGUUUGAAAGAUGCAAUUGCAUCACUCAAAGAUGAUCCCGCGUUGUAUUAGCUAGUUGGUGAGGUAAAGGCUCACCAAGGCGAUGAUACAUAGCCGACCUGAGAGGGUGAUCGGCCACAUUGGGACUGAGACACGGCCCAAACUCCUACGGGAGGCAGCAGUAGGGAAUCUUCGGCAAUGGACGAAAGUCUGACCGAGCAACGCCGCGUGAGUGAAGAAGGUUUUCGGAUCGUAAAAACUCUGUUGGUAGAGAAAGAAACGU